rnacentral:rRNA from 1 species
GAUGAACGCUGGCGGCGUGCCUAAUACAUGCAAGUCGAGCGAACAGACGAGGAGCUUGCUCCUCUGACGUUAGCGGCGGACGGGUGAGUAACACGUGGAUAACCUACCUAUAAGACUGGGAUAACUUCGGGAACCCGGAGCUAAUACCGGAUAAUAUAUUGAACCGCACGGUUCAAUAGUGAAAGACGGUUUUGCUGUCACUUAUAGAUGGAUCCGCGCCGCAUUAGCUAGUUGGUAAGGUAACGGCUUACCAAGGCAACGAUGCGUAGCCGACCUGAGAGGGUGAUCGGCCACACUGGCACUGAGACACGGUCAAGACUCCUACGGGAGGCAGCAGUAGGGAAUCUUACGCAAUGGGCGUGAGCUUGACGGAGCAACGCCGCGUGAGUGAUGAAGGUCAUCGGAUCGUAAAACGCUGUUAUUAGGGAAGAACAAAUGUGUAAGUAACUAUGCACGUCUUGACGGUACCUAAUCAGAAAGCCACGGCUAACUACGUGC